UCCUAAGAUCCAAGGCUACAGGAUCCGAGC
rnacentral:piRNA from 1 species